CAGGUUUGAUCAUGGCUCAGGAUGAACGCUAGCUACAGGCUUAACACAUGCAAGUCGAGGGGCAGCAUUUUAGUUUGCUUGCAAACUGAAGAUGGCGACCGGCGCACGGGUGAGUAACACGUAUCCAACCUACCGAUAACUCCGGAAUAGCCUUUCGAAAGAAAGAUUAAUACCGGAUAGCAUACGAAUAUCGCAUGAUAUUUUUAUUAAAGAAUUUCGGUUAUCGAUGGGGAUGCGUUCCAUUAGUUUGUU
rnacentral:rRNA from 1 species